UGAAACUGCAAUACGGGUACUUGACGUCCGCGCGAUUGAGCAUGGUUGAAAAACACUUUGGAAGGAAAUUUAACAGCAUAAGCGAGCUGAACGAAGAUAUUGCUGUCAUAACACAAAAACGUCAAGGCAUUCGUGACCCACGGAGGCCUAGGCCAUCGCGUAUGAAGUUCCUAUGAUUCAUAUACCAAUUUUCAGUGACCAAAAUUUGAAUGAACGACCACCCCUGUGUGAAAAGGAGAAUUGGCGUCACGCUGGAUCAUCGCAAAAUAACGACCGAUACGUUUACAGAAGCAGUUAAAAAAAUCCUCGAUGAUCCGAUCUACAGGCGAGCACAUUUUCACCAUCCGAAGAAAGUUCACCCAAAGCAAUUGAGAAAUUAUAGUUUUUAUAUCUUUGAUUUCUACAGCGAGAAUGCAAAACGAGUGUCAAAGUUAUGAACCGAUCGUCCAAUGAGCGCAAAUUACAGUGAAAUCCAAAAAGAACGAAUGAUUGGAACUUCCAUAAUCGUCACUGCAGUACAAGCUGAAUGAAUAAAAAAUAAGAGUGAUUCCAUCCCGCAGUUUAUUCCACAAACAGAAGAACAAAAUACUCCAAGUUUGAGAAUUUUGGCACCAAGCUGAUGAAAAAUAAUCGAUUUCUGUAGUUUAAACGAAUCGUUUAAUUAAUUCGAUAAAAUAUCGAUUAUAGAGUUGCUCAUCGGGUUAUACAAUUAUCGGAAUAAAUUUCUCCUUCCGAGGUUCUACGUAUCAAGAAA